GGAGGACUAGCUCAGUUGGGAGAGCAUCUGCCUUACAAGCAGAGGGUCAGCGGUUCGAGCCCGUUGUCCUCCACCA
rnacentral:tRNA from 1 species